rnacentral:lncRNA from 1 species
UCAUCUUCUCUGUUGUUUUUCCUCCCAGCUGUAAGCGACUACUUUUUGUUUGUUUAAACUGCUUAUAUUCUCUAUAGCCUCUUCCUGUAAUUUUUGUUAAAAAUAUCUAAUAAAUGUCAGGUGGCUGCUUUUCCAGCCUCCUUUUUGUGAUCAAAAACAAAGAGUCUCAUGUUUAUAAUGUUAACUAGGUAUUGUAAUUUAAUAAACCACG